ensembl:lncRNA
GCACCAUUAUCCGGGGCUCGUGGACACAGCAAAGCUCGUGGACGCAGUAAAGUCCGAGAAUUGGCACCUGGGUGCUUCUGAUUCUCGAGUCUGCAUCUCCUGGAAUUCCGAUGCAGAGCUCUCUAGGUCCCCGGCACUUCAGGUGCUAAGCAUAAGCUCCUAGGCGUCGCACCUACCACCUCAAAUAUUUCUCAGAUAUUAAGAUCCUACCAUGUGGUCCUCUGAGCUUCGUCUCUGGUGUCGGCUUCUUCCAUUUACUCCAACCAGGAGCACAUUCGCUCAUUCAGCCAGACAUGGCAGCAUUUCAGGACUUGGGGGGGGGGGGUGAGACAGGGUCUUGUUAUGUAGUCCAAUCUCUCUUGAACUCACUAUGUAGUCCAGAAUGGCCUGAACUUGCGAUUCCCCUCCCUCAGCCUCCCGAGUUUCGAGAUUACAGUUGUGUGGCACCACGCCUGACUGCAGUGUGAUCUUUUAAAAUCCAGACCUGCCUUGCUGGUCAACCAGGACCGCGUGUUCCUUCACGAGCCCGGAGCCCGACAGCCUCUCCUGCAUCCUCACGCCGGGCUCUGGCCACGCCCCCCUGCCAGGGGCUCACCCGCGCCCCUCCUCGGCAGCUGCGCCUCGCCGGGCCUCUCCGGGCCUCGCCGGGCCCCGGGAGGGGAAGGGGCUCCACCUGCGCGCCACCUGCUGGGCCGCCCGACCUCCCGCAGACCCGGCCAGACCUCGGCGAAGCUCACGCCUCCGGGCUGCACAUCCGCGCCGGCCGCAAGCUCCAGGACGCGGCGGCGAGCCUGAGCCGCUGCGCAUGCGCGCAGGUGCGCGUGCACGCAACAGCCCGCACGCACCGGCACGCACGCGCCCGGCCAGUGAGACUAGGAAGGACAGGCUCCCUCGUGCUGAACUCUGGGCGCGCGCCCAGCUGAGGACGUGGCCCGAGGGAGGGAGGUCAGCGGGAGCUUCACAACGUUUGGCCCUGGUUGUGCGCCCUGCAGGGUGUGCCGUGAAGCUGUUGGUGGUUCUGAGGGCAAUCAUAAGCCUGGGGAAGCGUGUACUGUACUGUGUAAUAAUGAAGACAGCAGUUAUCCGCACUUUGAAAGCAAGUUUUGCAAAAUAGUUACGCACUUCCUUUGAGUCCUUUCUGGCCUCUUACUUGAGGUUCGGGUUCCCCUUCUGUGGCACAGCCUGUCCUGUGUGGACCCAGUAUGGCCGCUGAGGCUGCAGGGAGCUGUUGCGGGGCAUUUGUCCUUUCCCCAAGGUCGCUCCCUUGAAUGUGAUGAGUUCUAAUAAGCCACAUCCUGUAGGACAUCAGCACACCUUUGGGGGCAACACAGGACUGAGAUGUAGCCUGCACAGGUCAGAGGUCCAAAGUGAGUUUCACUGGACAAACAUCAAGGUGUCAGUAGGUUGGGGCACUGCGACUCAAGCCUGGGUUCCUGGUACUCUGGAGGUGAAGGUGGACAAUCUGAUCCUGGGAGUUCAAGACCAACCUGGACAACACAGCCAGAGCCUGUCUGUAAAAAUGUAAAUAAAAUCAAUUUAAAAAGAAAAUAAA